rnacentral:tRNA from 1 species
GGAGAGGUGGCCGAGUGGUUUAAGGCGGCCGUCUCGAAAACGGCUAUGGGGUGCUGAGCCCCAUCGUGGGUUCGAAUCCCACCCUCUCCGCCA